GCAGCCGCCGCGGGAAUACGAAGGGGGCUAGCGUUGCUCGGAAUUACUGGGCGUAAUGGGCGCGUAGGCGGACAGUUCAGUCGGGGGUGAAAGCCCGGGGCUCAACCUCGGAAUUGCCUUCGAUACUGGCUGUCUUGAGUAUGAGAGAGGUGUGUGGAACUCCGAGUGUAGAGGUGAAAUUCGUAGAUAUUCGGAAGAACACCAGUGGCGAAGGCGACACACUGGCUCAUUACUGACGCUGAGGCGCGAAAGCGUGGGGAGCAAACAGGAUUAGAUACCCCGGUAGUCCCUGUCUCUUAUCA
rnacentral:rRNA from 1 species